rnacentral:rRNA from 1 species
GAUGAACGCUGGCGGCGUGCCUAAUACAUGCAAGUCGAGCGAACAGACGAGGAGCUUGCUCCUCUGACGUUAGCGGCGGACGGGUGAGUAACACGUGGAUAACCUACCUAUAAGACUGGGAUAACUUCGGGAAACCGGAGCUAAUACCGGAUAAUAUAUUGAACCGCAUGGUUCAAUAGUGAAAGACGGUUUUGCUGUCACUUAUAGAUGGAUCCGCGCCGCAUUAGCUAGUUGGUAAGGUAACGGCUUACCAAGGCAACGAUGCGUAGCCGACCUGAGAGGGUGAGCGGCCACGAGGGAACUGAGACACGGUCCAGACGCCAACGGGAGGCAGCAGUAGGGAAUGUGCGGCAAUGGGCGAAAGACAGAAGGAGAAACGCAGCGUGAGUGAAGAAGGUAUUCGGAUAGUAAAACUCUGUUAAUAGGGAAGAACAAAUGUGUAAGUAACUAUGCACGUCUAGACGGUACCUAAUCAGAAAGCCACGGCUAACUACGUG